CCGGUGUGUCUGGUAAUCGCCUGACUUUUGUUAGGAGGAAAGUCCGAACACACCCGCACGUAUUGUGUGGAGCACGUUGCGGGUAAUUCCCGUCGGGCGAAGCCGUGCACCAAUUCGGUACAUGGCAAGCCUCGCGGUGCGAACAGAAACGCCUUUGUUGGCAACAACGAAGAGCGCCGCAUGCUGAAAAAAUGGCGUAGCCCCUCACUUGCAUGCAAGUGAGGGGGUGCAACGGCAAAAUCCGAACGUGUGUGCAAGGCCGUUCCCCCACCACUUUUGUUACCUAGGUAAAGUGGUAUAUUUAGCUUAGGAUACAAAAGUGGUGGGGGAGAGCCGCUUGAGCCGGCUGGCAACAGCUCGGCCCAGAUAAAUGAUUACCAACCUGCCACGCAGGUUCAACAUAAUUCGGCUUACCGACACACCAUCAAU
rnacentral:RNase_P_RNA from 1 species